rnacentral:rRNA from 1 species
GACGAACGCUGGCGGCGUGCUUAACACAUGCAAGUCGAACGGAAAGGCCCUGCUUGCAGGGUACUCGAGUGGCGAACGGGUGAGUAACACGUGGGUGAUCUGCCCUGCACUUCGGGAUAAGCUUGGGAAACUGGGUCUAAUACCGGAUAGGAACCAUCUUUAGUGUGGUGGUUGGAAAGUUUUUUCGGUGUAGGAUGAGCUCGCGGCCUAUCAGCUUGUUGGUGGGGUAAUGGCCUACCAAGGCGGCGACGGGUAGCCGGCCUGAGAGGGUGUACGGCCACAUUGGGACUGAGAUACGGCCCAGACUCCUACGGGAGGCAGCAGUGGGGAAUAUUGCACAAUGGGCGCAAGUCUGAUGCAGCGACGCCGCGUGGGGGAUGAAGGCCUUCGGGUUGUAAACUCCUUUCGCUAGGGACGAAGCUUUGUUGUGACGGUACCUAGAUAAGAAGCACCGGCUAACUACGUG